rnacentral:rRNA from 1 species
GGCGGCGUAAAGCUGUCGCUAUGGGGGAUGGGCCCCCGCGGUGCAUUUAGCUAGUUGGUAAGGUAAAGGCUUACCAAGGGGCGAUGAUGCAUAGCCCGAGUUGAGAGACUGAUCGGCCACAUUGGGGACUGAGACACGGGCCCAAACUCCUACGGGAGGCAGCAGUAGGGAAUCUUCCACAAUGGACGCAAGUCUGAUGGAGCAAACGCCGCGUGAGUGAAGAAGGUUUUCGGAUCGUAAAGCUCUGUUGUUGGUGAAGAAGGAUAGAGGUAGUAACUGGCCCUUUAUUUGACGGUAAUCAACCAGAAAGUCACGGGCUAACUACGUGCCAGCAGCCGCGGUAAAU